rnacentral:rRNA from 1 species
UACGUAGGAGGCAAGCGUUGUCCGGAAUUACUGGGCGUAAAGCGCGUGUAGGUGGUGGGACAAGUCUGCUGUGAAAGCGCCUGGCUUAACCGGGCGAGGUCGGCGGAAACUGUCGCACUCGGAGGACGGUAGAGGGGGUGGAAUUCCCGGUGUAGUGGUGAAAUGCGUAGAGAUCGGGAGGAACACCUGUGGCGAAGGCGGCCCCCUGGGCCGGCCCUGACACUGAGACGCGAAGGCGUGGGGAGCGAACGGG